UGGGAGGGGCCCUGGCAGCAUGAAACCCCCACCCCCACUCUCUGUGACGGCCCAGAUGGAGGGCAGGAGGAACAGCGGUUCAGCCCUGGCUGGGGCUGCAGGGGCUGGGGUGUGUUACUCACUGGCACGACGGAGAACUGCAUGAAGAGGCAGGCUCAGUGUGAAUGGGGGAACUUCCUGGUUCUGAGGGAAUGUGGGAAAAUUGCCCUUUGGGCUGGGUGAAGAAAAAAGCAAGCGGAACCCUGGGACCCCUGGACUUCCUCCUCCAGAGCAAGCGGCUUUGGUCGUGGGCCAGCGAGCCUGUGCGUCCCCAGCCCCAGGGUGUUCACCGCUUCAGAGAAGCAUGGCGACAGUUCUGCCAGAUGAGAGGAUCCAGGCUGACUGGAGGAAGGAAGGGCUUUGUCUCAUCUGGGCUCAGGUUUGGGAGAGACGGCUUCUCAGAGGAGGUGAUGCCUCAGCCAGUCUUAAAGGCAAUGCGGUGUGCAGAGGGUGCUUGGUGGUUCUCUCCUGAUGGCCCCGCAGGGUCUGGAGCCUCCAUCUGGCCAGCAGAGGGCGCAGAAGGACUGCCUGGGCAGCUCCGACGUGACCGCCUGGAAGUGGUGUACAGCGUUCCUGACAACGUUCCCGGCCAAAACGGGUCCUGCCGCCCACUUGUGUGCAAGAUAGCUGGAAAAUGUCUUUCUGUGUGCUCCGAGGAGAAUGCAAAGGCUGGUGGAUGUAGUGCCUUUCCUCUACUGCUCUCUCAGCUGGGGGCAAGAAUGACAGGACGUGAACAUGCACACAAGGGCCCGGAACUCAGGACCCCCCACAGCGGUCUCCCCUGCCCCCCCAACCCCGCGCUUGCAGGAUUUGGGGCACUAGCACAGCACAGCCCACCCCUUGGGACUAGCACCCCCUCCGCAGUUCUGCUCUCUGCAGCAACAUAGAGUACAAAUAUUGUUCCUUUUGUUUCUUUUUUCCCUUUGGAUACAUUUUUAAUUACAAAAAUAGAGCUUGAUUGUUGCACCUAGACAGAUGUUU